rnacentral:rRNA from 2 species
GAGCGGCGAACGGGUGAGUAACACGUGAGUAACCUGCCCCUGACUCUGGGAUAAGCCCGGGAAACUGGGUCUAAUACCGGAUACGACACCUCCUGGCAUCGGGUGGGUGUGGAAAGUUUUUCGGUUGGGGAUGGACUCGCGGCCUAUCAGCUUGUUGGUGGGGUAACGGCCUACCAAGGCGACGACGGGUAGCCGGCCUGAGAGGGCGACCGGCCACACUGGGACUGAGACACGGCCCAGACUCCUACGGGAGGCAGCAGUGGGGAAUAUUGCGCAAUGGGCGAAAGCCUGACGCAGCGACGCCGCGUGGGGGAUGACGGCCUUCGGGUUGUAAACCUCUUUCAGCAGGGACGAAGUUGACGUGUACCUGCAGAAGAAGCGCCGGCUAACUACGUGCCAGCAGCCGCGGUAAUACGUAGGGCGCAAGCGUUGUCCGGAAUUAUUGGGCGUAAAGAGCUCGUAGGUGGCUUGUCACGUCGGGUGUGAAAGCUUGGGGCUUAACUCCAGGUCUGCAUUCGAUACGGGCUGGCUAGAGGUAGGUAGGGGAGAACGGAAUUCCU